UUCCGGUUGAUCCUGCCGGAGGCUACUGCUAUCGGAGUCCGAUUUAGCCAUGCUAGUCCACCGAGCUUUGCUCGGGGCGGAUAGCUGAGUAACACGUGACUAACCUGCCCUAUGGAUGGAGAUAACCUCGCUAACGUGAGGCUAAUAUCCAAUAGCAGAUGAUUGCUGGAAAGCGUCGUCUGUGAAAUGUUCCGACGCCAUAGGAUGGAGUCGCGGCUGAUUAGGUCGUUGGUGAGGUAACGGCUCACCAAGCCAGUAAUCAGUAACAGCCGUGAGAGCGGGAGCUGUCAGUUGGCUUCUGAGACAAGAAGCCAGACCCUACGGGGUGCAGCAGGCACGAAACCUUCACAAUGCACGAGAGUGCGAUGGGGGGACUCCGAGUGUAAUCUUCCCACAAGGAAGGUUACUUUUCUGCACUGUAAGGAGGUGCCGGAACAAGGGGUGGGCAACACUGCUGCCAGCCGCCGCGGUAAUAGCAGGACCCCAAGUGGUAGUCGUUAUUAUUGGGCUUAAAGUGUUCGUAGCCUGCCAUGCAAGUCCGCUGUGAAAUCCACGCGCUCAACGUGUGGGCGUGCAGCGGAUACUGUAUGGCUAGGGACCGGACGGCGUUGAGGCUAUUCCCGGAGUAGGAGUGAAAUCCUAAAAUUCUGGGAGGAGCACCUGUGGCGAAAGCGCUCAACGAGUACGGAUCCGACGGUGAGGAACGAAAGCCAGGGGAGCAAAGCGGAUUAGAUACCCGCGUAGUCCUGGCCGUUAACAAUGUGCGUUUGAUGUCGGACAACCUCCGAGGUUGUCCGGUGCCGAAGUGAAAACGUUAAACGCACCGCCUGGGAAGUACGGUCGCAAGGCUGAAACUUAAAGGAAUUGACGGGGGAGCACCACAACCGGUGGAGGCUGCGGUUUAAUUAGAUCCAACGCAGAGUACCCUACCAGAGCCGACAGCAGGAUGACGGUCAGCUUGAAGAGCUUACCUGACGCGCUGAGAGGAGCUGCAUGGCCGCCGUCAGCUCGUGCUGUGAAGUGUCCGGUUAAGUCCGGUAACGAGCGAGACCCGCAUCACAUGUUGCCAUGGAUCCCUUCGGGGAUUCGGCACUCGUGUGAGACCGCUGGCGAUAAGCCAGGGGAAGGAGCGGGCCACGGUAGGUCAGUAUGGCCCGAAUGCUCUGGGAUACACGCGGCC
rnacentral:rRNA from 1 species